rnacentral:tRNA from 1 species
GCCCCUGUGGCGGAAUUGGCAUACGCAGCAGGUUGAGGGCCUGUGCCCAUUAGGGCGUACUGGUUCGAGUCCAGUCAGGGGCA